rnacentral:rRNA from 1 species
GGAAUAUUGGACAAUGGCCGGAAGGCUGAUCCAGCCAUGCCGCGUGCGGGAAGGCGGCCCUAUGGGUUGUAAACCGCUUUUGCGGGGGAGCAAUAAGGUGCACGCGUGCACCGAUGAGAGUACCCUGCGAAUAAGCAUCGGCUAACUCCGUGCCAGCAGCCGCGGUAAUACGGAGGAUGCGAGCGUUAUCCGGAUUUAUUGGGUUUAAAGGGUGCGUAGGCGGAAGGUUAAGCGUGAGGUGAAAUGCUGCUGCUCAACAGCAGAACUGCCUCGCGAACUGGUCUUCUGGAAUGCCCCUGCCGUGGGAGGAAUGUGUGGUGUAGCGGUGAAAUGCAUAGAGAUCACACAGAACACCGAUUGCGAAGGCAUCUCACGAAGGGGUGAUUGACGCUGAGGCACGAAAGCGUGGGGAUCAAACA